CUCGAGAGUAAGGUGUUUUUGUAGCACUUGCAUUGGACUUCAGUGUCAGGUGCAUAAGUGGACGAUUGUGUUGACUGCACUUAGGAGUAAAGUUACUUGGAAGUUUUAUAGAGUUUAAUCAAGUAAUGUUGUAUUUAAGAAUGGUUGUAAUUCAAGAACUAUGUAUACGAGAUUAGUUGUAAGCUUUAAUUGCCACUUGUAUUUGAUUUUAAUGUUGAGUAGUUAAGUUGAA